UGUGACUCUAGUUUGUCUUUUAUAUACGUAAAUACCAGUGUAUAUGUUGGCAAAACAAUACAAAACAUCAAAGAAACAUCAGUCAACCAUUGGAACCCAGAUAUUAGAUCCUUCUGUCCCUAUACACUUUGCUAAAGCUUGACAUAAGAUAUUUAUGGUUAAAAUUCCAAAUCACCGACCAUGUUUCCAAGCUAAUACGAGUAGGCACCAGACUUAAAGUAUCGAAACAAGAGCAGCUAACUUGGAU